AGAGUUUGAUCCUGGCUCAGGAUGAACGCUAGCGAUAGGCUUAACACAUGCAAGUCGAGGGGCAGCAUGGUCUUAGCUUGCUAAGACUGAUGGCGACCGGCGCACGGGUGCGUAACGCGUAUGCAACUUGCCUCACAGAGGGGGAUAACCCGUCGAAAGACGGACUAAUACCGCGUACACUCCAUCUUGGGCAUCCAAGGUAGAGGAAAUGAAAUUCGCUGUGAGAUAGGCAUGCGUCCCAUUAGCUAGUUGGUGAGGUAACGGCUCACCAAGGCGACGAUGGGUAGGGGAACUGAGAGGUUGAACCCCCACACUGGUACUGAGACACGGACCAGACUCCUACGGGAGGCAGCAGUGAGGAAUAUUGGUCAAUGGGCGAGAGCCUGAACCAGCCAAGUCGCGUGAAGGAUGACUGUCUUAUGGAUUGUAAACUUCUUUUAUACGGGAAUAACAAGAGUCACGUGUGGCUCCCUGCAUGUACCGUAUGAAUAAGCAUCGGCUAACUCCGUGCCAGCAGCCGCGGUAAUACGGAGGAUGCGAGCGUUAUCCGGAUUUAUUGGGUUUAAAGGGUGCGUAGGCGGCCUGUUAAGUCAGCGGUGAAAUCUAGGAGCUUAACUCCUAAAUUGCCAUUGAUACUGGCGGGCUUGAGUGUAGAUGAGGUAGGCGGAAUGCGUGGUGUAGCGGUGGAAUGCAUAGAUAUCACGCAGAACUCCGAUUGCGAAGGCAGCUUACUAAGGUACAACUGACGCUGAAGCACGAAAGCGUGGGUAUCAAACAGGAUUAGAUACCCUGGUAGUCCACGCAGUAAACGAUGAUAACUGGGCGUAUGCGAUAUACAGUAUGCUCCUAAGCGAAAGCGUUAAGUUAUCCACCUGGGGAGUACGCCGGCAACGGUGAAACUCAAAGGAAUUGACGGGGGCCCG
rnacentral:rRNA from 1 species